ACUCAUAUUUGGAUGAAAUAAAAAACAUAAAUAAACAAAAUGAUUUCACGAACUAUGAUAAAUCGUCCGGCGUCCGGAAAACAUAUUGCCAAAACGCUGCGCUGCAUCUGAAAACCCUGGAAAGAAUCAGGCUGCAUUACAGACAUCCUUUCAAGAAUCAUGCAAAAGCCGGUGGAAACGGAAGUGACUUUGGGAAAGUUUUUCAAACCGCUUUGGAUAGGAGGUUUGUUGUAAUGUCUUCUAUGAUCUCAUGAGGUAUGGAACUUAUGACCUGGAAAGAUACAACGCUCUUACGAUUGUUUCUCCAGCAACCCAGGGUUCUAUAACUGGCCAAGUGUUUGUCGCAGUUAACCAACGCUCGAACUAAGUGCCGUGUUCCAACCAGGAUAUUAUGUUUCAUUUUUUUCGUUCACUGGUAAUUAGAUUUGUACGGUUUGAAUUAUUUAACCACCGAGCAAGACUAUUGCAACUGUUUCAACGAAUAGGACUCUGGAUCUUGGAAGCAGGUCGUCAUUAAGCACUAAUUCGUGAAGGAAGCUAAACCGGCGUUCAUUUAGGUGCAGUAUUCUCGGAACAAUUUAUCGACGGAUUCCAAUAAACGAAGGACAAAUGUAAGCGGAAGGAGUCGAUAGCUGACAUCUUUUGUUACUGACGUAACGCAGGUUAUACUGUGUUUGAUGCAAAGGAUGAAGAACCACUAUUUCUUCAACAAUUUCAAGGCCUUGCGGAAUAAUUAGAAGGAGAAAAGAACGGAACCAUCUGUUCGGCGUUCGAGGAACCAUAAGAUUAAAUUUCGAUUGAUCUAGUCAGCUGGACUAUAGGAAUUAGAUUAGGAGCAAGCUUAUGGUUAUAACCAUCCCAAGAAGGAGGAAAAGAAUCUGUAUGCGAUAUCAGCAGAGCACCAACUACCAAAGCAGGAAAAAAUCCAGAAAAUGGUUUGUGCGAGAACAAGGAUUCGGGAAAGAGCAAAGAUUUGUGAAAGGACGACGGAAACGGAAACAUGAGCGCAAUAGGCAAUCCGAGAACUGUUGAUAUUGGGAUUGAAUUCACCAUUCGAAUCUGACGCUGUUGCUGAUAACUAUUGUUUCGUCUCGACACUGCUACCAUGCUAUCAUGGCUAUUGGUUCCAGUUUCGAUUCUGGUUUUAUAUACCGCCAUUUUCCCAAUUACUGGUGCUUCUAUUGUUGGAUUUCUGCUGCAGCAAUUAUCAAGUAAACGGCAACAUAUAUGUAUUAGUUUAUAAAAUAUGUAUAAAUCAAUAAAAUUAUAUGCGAGAUACGAGUUUUUAUUGCACGAUUCCAAACAUUUUCUAUUCAAUAUAAAUAGGUAAUUGGCAAUAUCCAAAACAAAACAAAAUCACCCA